rnacentral:rRNA from 1 species
UACGUAGGGGGGCAAGCGUUUGUCCGGAUUUAUUGGGCGUAAAGAGCGUGUAGGCGGCCAUACAGGGUCAGCUGUGAAAACUCGAGGCUCAACCUCGAGACGUCGGUUGAAACCGUAUGGCUAGAGUCCGGAAGAGGAGAGUGGAAUUCCCCGGUGUAGCGGUGAAAUGCGCAGAUAUCGGGGAGGAACACCGGUGGCGAAGGCGGUUCUCUGGGCCUUACCUGACACUGAGGAGCGAAAGCGUGGGGGAGCGAACAGG